UAUAUAUAUAUAUGUUAAAAAUAAAAGAGGAUAUAGGGAAAGAGGACAUCUAUCUCUAAUUUUUAUUGGGAAUCCGACCCAUACACAUUCAAGCCCACAACAGGGUAAGGACUAAUGACGAAGAUAUUUUCUCCUAAAUAGGUAAGGGUACUAGUAUUAGUUAGGGAUGGCAAUGGGCACCGCCCGCAGCGGGUUUGUCAUUACCAAACCCAAACCCGCACAAAAUUUAAAUUACCAAACCCAUCCACAACCCGCAGCGGGUUUUAAUUUUUUUUAAAAAAAUUCACCCGCAGCGGGUUUUAACAAUUACCAAACCCGCAAUGGUACCCGGCGGAUUUUUUGCGGGUUUCCGUAUUUAAAAUCACAAAUGUUUAAUAUAUAAAUUUAUUAUAAUAAUCUCAAAUUCCAUAUAACAUACUCAAUUUUAUAUUUAAACAACAUAAAUGAAAAAUUAAAAUUUCAACAUCAAUCCAACACAAAUUCUCAAAUUUAAGUAUAAAUUACACAAAUCCAUUUAAAAAACACAAACUAGUAUCUAAAAAUAAUAAUUACAUUUCACAUUAUCAUUUAAAACAAGCUUUAAGAGAAGAUAUUUAUUUCAUUCACCACUGUUGAGUAUUAGAAAAUGUAUAUUUAUAAAGGAGAAAAUCGUCAUUUUACACUUCAAGUUUUACUAACACCCUUACUUUUAUGUAUUUAAACUUCUUGUCAUUUAAUUAUGUGUGUUGUAUUAUAAUUAAGUAUUUUAUGUAUUUUAGGGGCAUCAUAGUCAUUUCACAAUAAACGAAAAAUCAGACGGCAAAACAGACAUCACUUUUGAACUCAGGACGGUCGAAAACCUUAGGAGGAGCAUAAAAGGAAAAAUGGCAUUGUUCACAUGUACGGUACUGUCUACGUUACUGUUCACGACACUGUUCACGUAGGUGGAUCGAUGACGUGGCAUUGAUCGAUGAUGUGGCAUUGACUGAUGAGGUGUCACGAUCCUGUUGGACUAAAAUUCUUAUGCAUUGUUGAUCGAUGACGUGGCAGCAUAUCAGUGGACCAAAAAUUUUGCGUACGGUACAUGCAUUACACAGGAUUAUUUUCAACCAAACUGCGUCACUGUUCAAGCCGAGUCAAACCGUGUUACUGUUCAAACCGCGUGGUCAAACCGCGUACUGUUGACUAGUGACGUGGCAGAAUCCUGAGUGUCCAAACUAUUUUUAAUCUGAUGGCCAUGAUUUAAUCAAUGUAUCUAUAAAAAGGGGGCUCUACCCCCCAAAUUUGAUAUCUCUGGAUCCAUUUUUGGACUCCAUUUUCUGUAAUUCCUUCUCCAUCUUGUAUUUUUUAUGUAUUUUAAUAAAUUCUCAUUUUGCCCCUAGUUCAAUUAUGAGUAGCUAAUUUUCUUUCAAGCUUGGGUUGAAGAUGAAGUCUCAACAUGUGUCAUGGGCUUUAUUUGGUAAAUUUAUUUUCUCUUCCCCUAUAGUUUUUGUGGAUGUUUUGACUUCUCGUCGACAAAUAAUAAUAAGCUUGUCUAGAUACCACCCUGGUUUCACCGGCUCCAUAGUACAAGGUUAUUAUUAUUUGGCACGAUAAGCCCUUAGCACCAUAUUGAUUAGAGUGUGGUUCAUGAGAUGUGGAUUCCCCCCUCAUGAUUUAAUUGGUAUUAAGAAGGAAUAUUUAGCCCAUGGUGUAUGUUGAUAUGGAUCCAUAUACCAAAGUACGUCAUUUCAAUAGAAUUCUCUUCAAUUUAUUCUCGCUAUUUGAAUUCUAAUUUUAGGAUAAUCUAAGUCACUUUCACCAUAAAUCCAAAUACCCUCGUACAAAAUUAAUUCUACAUAUAAUUAAAAUUCACCUCCUCGUGGGAUCGACACUCGUCACCAUUAAUCUAUUCUACAAUAGAUUCCUGCACUUGCGAGUUCAAUAAAAUUUGCACAACAACCACCAUAAGCACCCAUCCAACACAAUGCCUAUAAUAAUAAUUAAGAUUAAUAUUUUCAAAUACUAAUUCGAAGGGAAAUACCUUUAGUUUUCUUUAGGUUAUGACUUUAAAAUGGGAGAUGGGCCACAUACACACAUACACAACUUUGAGCCUUUGGCUAUUUGGCUAUUUGGUAAUUUGAAUAAUGACAUCUUUAUACAUUUUUAGAUUAAAAUUAAAUUAAAAAUAUUUAGAAAAAAUAUUGCGGGUUUGGUGGAUAUCCAUGCGGGUAUUCACCGGAUAUAAGGUUAAUACCAAACCCAUCGGCAUCCAUGUGCGGGUUUUAAUUUAUAAUACUAAACCCGCCCGCAACAGGUAAAAUUACCCACAACAGGCGGGUUUUGGCGGGUGGGUUUGCGGGUACAAUUACUACCCCUAGUAUUAGCGUUCUCGCACAAUACCCAACUUAUUGCCAUCCUUACUAACAACAAAUGGGCAAUUCUAACAUGUAGGGGUGGAUAAUUCGAGUGGUUCAAGGAAUAACUUGAAAAUUGUCCUGCUCUUAUACCAUUCAAUCUGGGUGUGAUUGGUUUGGUUCGUCAAUUUCCUUUAUUAUUUUUCUUAAUUUUGGUUAUUGAUCAAUUCAAAUUUUUUUGAAUUGAUCUAUAACUUAUCAAUAAACCGAAGUACCAAACCAACCUAAAUUGAUUUGAUUUCACUCAAGCAUUUUGCUAGUUAUGUCAUGACAACACUAACUAAGACCUUCCUCUACGAAGGAAAUGAGUUGGAUGGACUCAUAAACACUGAUUUUCCAACAAUAAUUGAUAGAAGGCAGCUGCUACAUUAGAGAUGCUCCAAUGUAGAGCAGCCUUCAGAAUCGUUGAAUGUAUGCAGCUGAAUCUGAAACAAUUGUAAUAAUGUGCAUCCAAUGGCUCUGGGGACUGCUCUACGUUGGAGAUGCUCCAACAUAGCUGAACCCUUGAUAGAAACAUGGGUUAUGCCAUAAUAUUAUGAUUUUAACCUUCUAAUAAAUAUAUUAGUAAAUUGUGGGAAACCUCAUUACUAAGCAUCAAACCUUUAAUUUGUAUUAAUAACGAUCUUAUCAUACUUAUUUUUAAUAAUAUUUUAUCAUGUGUAUAUUUAUAAAGAUAUAUGGUUAAUAAUUAAUUAUCUCUAAAUUCUUCUUCAAUAAUUACCAAUCACAACUUUUUUUUAAAAAUUAACCGAAAAAGAUCAUUCUUUAUUUUUUGUCCCUAAACCUUAUCCGUAUUAUUAUUCAUUGAAUUUGAAUGACAAUAGGCACUAAGAGCAUUCAUGACCAGCUAAUUGUGCUUAGAGAGACUCUCAAAAUCCUUUUGAGAUUGCAUUUGAUACUUAAAAAGUGAUUUUUAAAAGUUAAAAGUUAAUUUUGAUAUCUGUAAAUUUUUUUGAAGAACCAUUUUUGAUAAAAUCAUUUAAUUUUAUAGUAGAUUUUGAAAAGUAAAGCCAUAAAUGGGUAGUUUUUCAAAAUUUGAUUUUGAAAAUCAAUUUGCACUUACUACAAUUUCAUAUAUAUCCUCACAUAUAUUAUAAAAAUAUAAAAU
rnacentral:lncRNA from 1 species